UUUUUAUUUUUUAUUUUUAC
rnacentral:snRNA from 1 species